AGGACCUGCAAGAUUUAUUGAAGUUCUAGAGUACUAAUUCAUACAAAAUUUUGUACUUCUUCAUGAAAGUAUUUCAAUUUUUACCUCGUACAACUGUUGCCACAAACUUGGGUUUGCAUCACAAGGAUGAUUUGGCUCUUUAAUAGUAUCUGGACACAACUCCGUUGUUUUCCACUUAUUAGCAAAAGGAACUACAGACUGUUCAAUGUCACCAUCAGGUGUGACAAAAUCAUCUUUCUGGUUCAAUGUAAAUGUUCCACACAGGCCUUCUGUCUUGCCUAAAAGCAUCAAUCGAAAGAUAAAGAUGUGAAAUUGGUGGUGCGUUAACGUAUACACGAGAUAUUCCAUCCCACCAUACGUCUAUGCCAUUCGACAGCUCGGCGAUCAGAAAAAUGCUGCUGGCUACUCGAAGUUUUAUUCCUCCCAAUGUGACAGUUUUAGUGCACGAUGGAGCCUCAGAUGACAAUGAUGACGUGUAACCCAUAUUCUAUUAAAUUACAAAUAUUACACAUUACGAAUAUUGAUUGUACUAUCAAAAGAAGCAUGAAAAAAAUGAUGGUGCAAUAUUACAUUUUGAAAAUGAAGGCCAUAUAUAUUAUCGCAAACAUAUGAAAGACUAUGUACUGAAAAUAUAUGUAAGAAGCUUGGAAUAUGAAAUAAUGAGAGGAAACCAUUUCCAACAAUAAAUAAUUUAUAUUCACCUCA
rnacentral:lncRNA from 1 species